GAAAUAGUUUCUUAAAUUCUUCUGCCUCUUUUCAGGAUGUUUACAAUCAUUGUUAAGCACAUAUACAAGGUCUUCAUGUAUAGGAAGUUUCAGUUUUUAUGCACAUAUGUUGUCUCCAACAGGAUUUUCCAUAUCAUUGUACUUGUAACUAAACAUGAUAAGAUUGUGACUUUUCCCCACCAGAAAAGAUGCUAACUCGUAUACCC